UCCAGCUUAUCGCUGGCGGUCUCCUGCGAGUCCCCCCUUGCGGGAUGGCAACACAGGACAAGGGUUGCGCUCGUUGCGGGACUUAACCCAACAUCUCACGACACGAGCUGACGACAGCCAUGCAGCACCUCGACUGGACCUCCUUGCGGAGUAGCACUGUUUCCAAUGCCGUUAACCAGCCGUUCGAGCCCAGGUAAGGUUCUUCGCGUUGCGUCGAAUUGAACCACAUGCUCCACCGCUUGUGCGGGCCCCCGUCAAUUCCUUUGAGUUUCAGCCUUGCGACUGUACUCCCCAGGCGGCAUAUUUAACGCGUUAGCUCCGGCACAGAUCAACUGAAUGACCUACACCAAAUAUGCAUCGUUUAGGGCGUGGACUAC
rnacentral:misc_RNA from 1 species